CAAAGGUAGCAUAAUCAUUAGGGGUUUAAUUGGAACCUGGUAUGAAGGGUUGGACAAAGGAAAAACUGUCUCUGUAGUAUUAGUUGAAAUUUACUUUUAAGUGAAAAGGCUUAAAUAUAUCAGAGGGACGAUAAGACCCUAUAAAGCUUUAUAAAUAAUUGAAAUUUAGUUGAUUUAGGUAUAAAAAUUAAGUUUGAUUGUUUUAUUUCGUUGGGGUGAUGUGAGCAUAAUUGUUAUUAACUGCUUAUUAGGAAUACUUAGGUAAGAGAAUUAUAAGUGAUGAUCCUUUUUAAAGAUUAAAAGAAUAAGUUACUUUAGGGAUAACAGCGUUAUUUCUUUUGAGAGUCCAUAUCGAAAAAGGAGAUUGCGACCUCGAUGUUGAAUUAAAAUAUCUAUAUAAUGCAGUCGUUAUAUAAGAGGGUCUGUUCGACCUUUAAAUUUUUACAUGAUUUGAGUUCA
rnacentral:rRNA from 1 species